rnacentral:rRNA from 1 species
AACGAACGCUGGCGGCAUGCCUAACACAUGCAAGUCGAACGAGACCUUCGGGUCUAGUGGCGCACGGGUGCGUAACGCGUGGGAACCUUCCCUUAGGUUCGGAAUAACUCUCCGAAAGGGGUGCUAAUACCGGAUAAUGUCUUCUGACCAACGAUUUAUCGCCGUUGGAUGGGCCCGCGUUGGAUUAGCUAGUUGGUAGGGUAAAAGCCUACCAAGGCGUCGAUCCAUAGCUGGUCUGAGAGGAUGAUCAGCCACACUGGGACUGAGACACGGCCCAGACUCCUACGGGAAGCAGCAGUGGGGAAUAUUGGACCAUGGGCGAAAGCAUGAUCCUGCAAUGACGCGAGAGUGAUGAUGGCCUUAAGGUUGUAAAGCUCUUUUACCCGGGCUGAUAAUGACAGUACCGAGAGAAUAAGCUCCGGCUAACUCCGUG